UUAAUUGAAGCCAAAAAGCGGCGUAUCACUGUUAAUGAUAUAAUUGAGACUUUUACACUCCAAUUAAG
rnacentral:tRNA from 1 species